UGUCGGACACUGUUGCAGGGAUGACCAGGUAUGAACGCUUUCCCCUCGCCAUCAUUUGACUACAGCAACUUCUUGUAUCAGUGAACUUUCGCCAUCGCCGCUGCUGGGAUCACCAGUACCCGAUGGACAAAGGAUAGUUGCUGAGUAGAACCCGAUGCACAGAGCUCGCGGCGCGAUUUUAACCACCGGACUUUUUGUGAAUUCACGCUAUUAACCAUCGAAGAGGCAUAUCAAGCGACAGGCGAUUGACAGCUGACGAAAGGUGACUGCCAGCUGACGAUCGGACAACUGACGCGACUAAUGGCUGACGGUCGAACUCUUAAACAUCGGACUUUUUGGAGAAUCUUUGGGACUCUUUCUUUUAACCAUCGGACUCUCGGACUGGCGGUGGAAGCGAUAUUGUUGAAGGAGAGUGGAGAGGAUAAGGAGAGAGACAGUGUGGGGGAGAACGAGAGAGGGGUGGAGAGGGAGAGGUUGGCAAAAAGGCGUGAACCGAGGGAGAAGAAGAGGAGCAGAGACAGAACGUUAGGUUAGGCCCGUCGGGGUGGGGCCUGACAGAUACCAGGUGAGAGCUUGCAUGAGGGGCUUGAACAGACAGAGAGGGUGGCGGUUGCUUUUUCUCUGGUUGCUCCCAGCUUCCAGUGUCGUCCUCUCACCUCACGUUGCAGUUUCUAGUACCAUCCUCUCUAUUCUUCCGUCGAUCGUCUUCCUCAACUCUGUUCUCCCACCAAUCGUCUUCUUCUCAACCUUCUCUCUGAUACUCUUUUUUUUUUUAAUCUGAAAGAGAGGGGGAACCGUACUCGCAACAGUGGCAUCUCUUUCAGUUCGAGGAGGGCGGUGCCAGGGAGAGAGAAAGAGGAGCCGGAGAGAAGGGGGAGACAGGGAGAGAGAGGGGGGAACCGUAUUAGUAGCAGUGGCGGUGGUGGAAAUAGUAAGGCACAGAGAGAGAGAGAGUGGCAGGGACAAUCACUUUUAGUUUGAGGAGGUUGGUCUCAGGGAGAGAGAGAGAAAAAGCGAGCCAAAGAGAAGGGGGAGGCAGGGAGAGAGAUGGGGGGAACCGUACUCGUAGUAGUUGCGGUGGUGAGAGAGAGAGAGAGAGAGAGGAACUGAGCGGCAGUGGCGGAACUGGGGAAGGGAAGAAGAAGAAGAAGCACUUGAACCAAGACCACGUUGGUUGGAAGAUUUGAAUCACCUCUUUGGAAAGAAAAUGUGCCAUCGACGGAAACGAUCAAUUUAUCAGUUGGUCAAAAGAGACCGAGGGAUCUGAAUGCGCGGAUUCAAAUGGGCUUGCAAAGGUUAAGUUUAGUGAGAAUCUUCAACAGAUGGGUGUUCGCCAAUUGCGGGAACAAGCCAAUCUUCGAGGUGUUUCAGCAAGUGGGUCCAAGGAAGAACUAUUAUGUAGUACUCGACUAAUACAAGGAACAUACAAACAUCAAGAGACUUUCCAAGAUCCAAGAUCGCAGCAGUCGAACCUUUGCGGAAUGAAUGAUGAACGAGUGCCUGAGUCGUCUGGUGUGGUUUGUUCAUUUAAAUCCUUCCUUUGCUUGAGGUUUUCUCAGUUCUCUAUCUCUGAUGGGGAGAGAAUAGAGGGCGGCUAAAUGAUUUACAUUUCCACCAAGUCUAUACGAGUCAAUAUAUGUACGGAUCCGCUAUCAUUUAAUGGCCAAAAUUACAUAGCCAUAGCUAAUAUGGCAUCUUGCAAAAUUAGAAUCAGAAUACCUAGUAUCUCCGAAUUGUCCUUUUGUCCAACAGUCCCACCAUAAAUACUAUAUCGGGGCGGGUACAAACUUAAGCAUGCAUUAGACUUCGUAUUGCUGAGGCAUAAGGAACCUUUUGCAUCUCUUUAUAGUCAAUGUGUUUUUUCUGAGUGAAUCCUUUCGUGACUAGAUGAGCCUUAUAUCUUUUGACAUUGCCUUUUGAAUCCCUUUUGGUUUUAAAUAUUCAUUUGCAACCAAUAGGUUUUGAACCUCCACGCAAUUCGAUAAAAUCCCAAACUUCAUUGUCUUUCAUAGAUUUCAUCUCUUCUUGCAUGGCAUUGAUCCAACGUUGAGAAUUAAAACUUUGAAGAGUUUCGCGAAUGUUGGUUGGAUCAUCUUCCGCUAAAUCUACAAAAUCUUUGUUCUAAAUCUACUUUUUGAGGCUCUUGAGUUUCCUCUAUAAGAGGAACUUCAUUGUUGUCUUGAACCGGAAUUGUUUCUUGAACAAUGUCAAAAAUUAUUGUUUGAUCACCAUCAAUAAUAAUAUUAGAAAGAAAUGGAAUUCUCUUAUUCCAAGACAA